UACAGAGGUCUCAAGCGUUGUUCGGAUUUAUUGGGCGUAAAGGGUGCGUAGGCGGCGCGGUAAGUCGGGCGUGAAAUCUCGGAGCUUAACUCCGAAACUGCAUUCGAUACUGCCGUGCUUGAGGACUGGAGAGGAGACUGGAAUUUACGGUGUAGCGGUGAAAUGCGUAGAUAUCGUAAGGAAGACCAGUGGCGAAGGCGGGUCUCUGGACAGAUCCUGACGCUGAGGCACGAAGGUCAGGGGAGCAAACAGG
rnacentral:rRNA from 1 species